UACGUAGGGUCCAAGCGUUGUUCGGAUUUACUGGGCGUAAAGGGCGCGUAGGCGGCAAUUCAAGUCAUCUGUGAAAUCUCCGGGCUUAACUCGGAACGGUCAGAUGAUACUGCUUUGCUAGAGUGCGGAAGGGGCAAUCGGAAUUCUAGGUGUAGCGGUGAAAUGCGUAGAUAUCAAGAGGAACACCUGAGGUGAAGACGGGUUGCUGGGCCGACACUGACGCUGACAGCGCGAAAGCCAGGGGAGCAAACGGG
rnacentral:rRNA from 1 species